rnacentral:rRNA from 1 species
AGUGAACGCUGGCGGCAGGCUUAACACAUGCAAGUCGAGCGGGGUGAUGGUGCUUGCACUAUCACUUAGCGGCGGACGGGUGAGUAAUGCUUAGGAAUCUGCCUAUUAGUGGGGGACAACAUCUCGAAAGGGAUGCUAAUACCGCAUACGUCCUACGGGGGAAAGCAGGGGAUCACUUGUGACCUUGCGCUAAUAGAUGAGCCUAAGUCGGAUUAGCUAGUUGGUGGGGUAAAGGCCUACCAAGGCGACGAUCUGUAGCGGGUCUGAGAGGAUGAUCCGCCACACUGGGACUGAGACACGGCCCAGACUCCUACGGGAGGCAGCAGUGGGGAAUAUUGGACAAUGGGGGGAACCCUGAUCCAGCCAUGCCGCGUGUGUGAAGAAGGCCUUAUGGUUGUAAGGCACUUUAAGCGAGGAGGAGGCUCUUUUGGUUAAUACCCAAGAUGAGUGGACGUUACUCGCAGAAUAAGCACCGGCUAACUCCGUGCCAGCCGCCGCAGUAA